GGGGAAUAUUGGACAAUGGGCGCAAGCCUGAUCCAGCAAUGCCGCGUGAAUGAUGAAGGCCUUAGGGUUGUAAAGUUCUUUUAGUGGGGAAGAUAAUGACGGUACCCACAGAAAAAGCUCCGGCUAACUUCGUGCCAGCAGCCGCGGUAAUACGAAGGGAGCUAGCGUUUUUCGGAAUUACUGGGCGUAAAGCGCAUGUAGGCGGCCAAUUAAGUUGGAAGUGAAAUCCCAGGGCUUAACCCUGGAACUGCUUCCAAAACUGGUAGGCUAGAGAGUGAUAGAGGAUGGCGGAAUUCCUAGUGUAGAGGUGAAAUUCUUAGAUAUUAGGAGGAACAUCAAUGGCGAAGGCAGCCAUCUGGGUCAUUUCUGACGCUGAGAUGCGAAAGCGUGGGGAGCAAAC
rnacentral:rRNA from 1 species